rnacentral:piRNA from 1 species
UCUCAGCCUGCAGAGGCCUGAACGUUUCCCUA